CACUCAGCAAACAGCACCAAAUGAAGACGGAGAAUAACAUAUAGAUUUGCCAUAAGAAAAAAUUGAUCUAAAUCCACAUAUCAAAUCUGCUGAUCAGAGCUCCGGAGAAACGCCUCAUAAUCUUUCGUACGCAACUGGAAGAAACUUUGGGCAGAAUGGAGACAUGCCUAAAAGUACAGAGGCUGUUUUGGGUUUGGUUUUCAAUUUGUCACCUGAUUACUAUAAUUAUAAUUUGCCUCUUAGGGCGCUGGGGUAAGAUCUCCUUGGAAGGAAAUACUCUUUGACUUAAUGUCUUAGUGGUAAGUAUUUUCUGCUCUCGGCAGGAACUGGUUGGGGGGGGCGGGGCUCUUCGAGCAUUGCAGUGAUCAGGAGAAUCUUAUAAAUGAAGAUGUUAUUCCCCAGGGAAAUUUCCCAACAAUCUGAUUUAAUUUAUAUCGUUUUAAAAAGUUCUGUCUAAAUGAUAAAAAAAAAAAAAAAGUCUCCGAGGAAAACAUUUGUUAGCACAGAAAAUAAAUUCUUAUGAUUAACAUUUUGCCAUCCAAAAAGGCUGGUGACUAAGAGAGUUCUCUGCACUUCAAAGGUAGGAGAGAAAUGAGUUUUAAAACAAGAGUCAAAAAGAAGCAAAUUGCUGCUGAGCUAUUUUUAUUUCAAAUGUAUAAAAGUCGAGUUGGUAACUGCGUGUAUAAAUCUUCAAAGUGCGGAUUGCCAAGGGUCUUCCUCUAAAGUCUGCUGUGAAAAAAUAAACUUUGACAAUUAAAGCAGCUUUUGCCUUUCGCCACGGAAGUGAGGGAGGUGGCCCAGUGUCCCAGGGGCUCCCGGCAUCCUCUCUGUUCCCAGGGAGCAGUGUGCCUUUGCUAAUUUAAAAAGGAAGAAGAAGAAAGAAGAAAGAAAGAAAGAAAGAAAGAAAGAAAGAAAGAAAGAAAGAAAGAAAGAAAGAAAGAAAGAAUGAAUCUCUUCAGCUCUGGGCCUUUGCAAAUCAAAGCCUUUGCUGCCCUCCCGAACGUGGGACUGCUCCAAGGUUUGAGGGUUUUUUGUUUGUUUAUUUGUUUUCCACUGGGCACUUUUGUGCUCAAUUGGUAAUUGGUUUUACUGAGCCAGAGUGGGGGUGGGACAAGGCUGUUUAUUUCGAUUCUCCAGUGGUGAACAGUGAGGCCUUGGCACGAGAAGACAGGUUUGCACAAAAGCUAGUAUUCUUAUAUGUGAACUGGGGGAAAUAGGUCCAAAACAGGUGAGAGAAGGGAUUAAGGGGACGGGGGUUGGGGAUGUGUGCAAGCCUCUGCGUCUAUAUGCAGGCACACAUUCGCCAUGGAAGCUCUUCUGUUAGCAGUGAAAGCUCUCUUUAAAGGAGUAGCGGGACAGGCCUGCACCCCCUUCCCAGACUGGCCUAGAUGCCACUCAGUCACCUAGCGGUCUGUCUCUAUACCAUUCUGAACCAGCGCACUUCCCAUUCUCAUUUUGCACCGGACAGGCCGAGGCAGGCGACACUUCUUGAGUGACAGAUGUGCCCGCUGUGGGGGCUCCCCCGGCCCUCCUGCUUCCUUGGGAUCAGCUGCUCUAGGAGGAGCUUCGACUGGUCCCUUUGUCUGCAUCAGUGGGGAGGGCCGGGAGGUGGGAAGGAAGGACAGACAAUGACAGGGGAGGGAGGAAGAGGGAGACUAACCCUUUCUGCUUUCAUUCUUUUUUUCCCUCUUUGAUUCUCUUUGAUUCUUUCUUUCCCUCCCACCCCCAAUUUAUAGACAAUCCUGUCAAUAUUUUUUCCAAUAUGGACUAGGUUCCUUAAAAAAAAAAAAAAAAAAAACUGAAAAAUGAUGUUCCCAGGGGAUUCAUGCUCACCUUGCCCUGUGAUGAGCCCUGGCUGAGAAGGUGAAGGAAAUCUCUUGAGUGAACAACUUUCCAUUUCCAUUUAAUACAUUUUGAAAAGAUCUGCGCAUGAGCCCUAUUGACUUGGGUUCUGAACCGUAUGUGCAAAACUAGCUUCUGGGGAUGUAAACUUGACUCACUGG
rnacentral:lncRNA from 1 species